rnacentral:rRNA from 1 species
AAAUGAAUAGACGGGGCCCCGCACAAGCAGUGGAGUAUGUGGUUUAAUUCGAAGCAACGCGAAGAACCUUACCAGGUCUUGACAUCUAACUAAUCCUCUAGAGAUAGAGGAGUGCCCUUCGGGGAAAGUUAAGACAGGUGGUGCAUGGUUGUCGUCAGCUCGUGUCGUGAGAUGUUGGGUUAAGUCCCGCAACGAGCGCAACCCCUACUAUUAGUUGCUACCUUUAUGGAGCACUCUAAUGGGACUGCCGUUGACAAAACGGAGGAAGGUGGGGAUGACGUCAAAUCAUCAUGCCCCUUAUGACCUGGGCUACACACGUACUACAAUGGCUAUUAACAGAGGGAAGCAAAGCCGCGAGGUGGAGCAAAUCCCCAAAAAUAGUCUCAGUUCGGAUUGCAGGCUGAAACCCGCCUGCAUGAAGCUGGAAUUGCUAGUAAUCGCGAAUCAGAAUGUCGCGGUGAAUACGUUCCCGGGGCUUGUACACACCGCCCGU